rnacentral:lncRNA from 10 species
GCGGGAGCCAGAGCUGCCGGGAGGAGCGGCAUCCGCGCCAGACUGGAGCGGGAGGGCGGCGGAGGGCAGUUGCUGGGAAUUUUUCAGCCGAGAGGGCGAGCGAUCCGGAGAGAGACCCCGAGAGCUUGGGAGCGGUAGGGCGUGCGAGCGCCGCAGCCAGCGGAGCAAACCUCGAAAUAGAUCUGGAAAGCCAGGCUCCCGGAGGAAAUGGGACUGUGAACGAACCGGAGAGCAAGAAGGGAAGGAAGCGCCGGGAUUGCUGAUGUCAGAGGAGCCCGGAAAGUCGCGCUGGAAAAAUCUGAAGACAGCCGGGGCUCUGCUUCUUCCUCAGGAGAGACACCGCCGGCCGCCCCCACACGCCCCCUCGGCGCCUCCGGGUGCCCCCUGAGAGCCGGCGACAGCGCCCAGCCGGGCUGCUGCGGGGCGACGGAGGACUGAGGGGCGCGCGGAGCGGAGACCGAGGAGCGACUUCAGGAAUACAGAUAAGUGUCUGGUGGCUUGACGUGGAUUUUAAUGAAUUUGGACUCCAUGUGGAUUUGGUCGUCUCCCUGAUUCCGAGCUGCGGGCAGGGAGAGGGGCCUCGCGCCGCCCUCAGCAGCCGGCGGCGGCCGAGGUAGACCGAGCGGGGACGGAAGGACAGACCGACGUCGCCGAGCUGGGUGCCUGGACAACCCAGCAAGAGCAACACAAGUGGUCCUAAAUCACCCAAGGGCCAUGAGAGGAGGGUGGCCUGAAAUCAUGGGACCACUGAUAGAAAUGGUGGGAAUGACAACUCAAGACCUCAGGUCAGCACGGGGAGAAGGUGGGACUAGCAGCACCCUGUUUGUUUCUUCCGAGAGGACUGGGUCUGGGGAGGCAGGUGCUGGGUCACCAGGUUCUGCUGCACAAUGAUCACCAAUCUCUCGAGCUAAAACAGAACCCUCGGAGUUUGUCACCAUC